ACGUAUCCACGUAUAAACCAUUGUGAACUGUUUUUCACCUUUGUGCGAGGAGAGAUAGGAGGAUAGCAAUUGAAUCCUGUUUUUUCAACUCACAAAGCGUAUAACCUUUAUAUUAACCAUUUUAACCAAAUCUUUAUAACUUUAUGAACUAAUUUUUAUUUUAUACUCUUCGGAGAUAAAAUUCAUUACGAAACAAAGAACAACUCUUAGCAACGGAUAUCUUGGUUCU
rnacentral:misc_RNA from 1 species